GAAGGUACAGUUCAGAGUAGAAUGUGUGCUUAGCACUCACAAGGCCCUGGGUUUAAUCCCCAGUACUUCCA
rnacentral:tRNA from 1 species